rnacentral:rRNA from 1 species
UACGUAGGGGGCCAGCGUUGUCCGGAUUUAUUGGGCGUAAAGAGCGUGUAGGCGGCCAGGUAGGUCUGGUGUGAAGACUCGAGGCUCAACCUCGAGAUGUCAUCGGAAACCAUCUGGCUAGAGUCCGGAAGAGGAGAGUGGAAUUCCUGGUGUAGCGGUGAAAUGCGCAGAUAUCAGGAAGAACACCCGUGGCGAAGGCGGCUCUCUGGGACGGUACUGACGCUGAGACGCGAAAGCGUGGGGAGCGAACAGG